rnacentral:misc_RNA from 1 species
GUUUUACGAUGCAAUAGCAAAUGUAAAAGUAGCUUGACGUAUCAAGCCCAAGUGUUAAGUUUCAAACUUGGGUCUAUUAAUCAAGUUAUAUGA